rnacentral:rRNA from 1 species
UACGAAGGGGGCUAGCGUUGUUCGGAUUUACUGGGCGUAAAGGGCGCGUAGGCGGUCAGCACAAGUCAGUUGUGAAAUCUCCGGGCUUAACUCGGAAAGGUCAACUGAUACUGUGCGACUAGAGUGCAGAAGGGGCAACUGGAAUUCUCGGUGUAGCGGUGAAAUGCGUAGAUAUCAGGAGGAACACCUGCGGUGUAGACGGCUUUCUGGACCAUUACUGACACUGAGACACGAAAGCGUGGGUAGCAAACAGG